rnacentral:rRNA from 1 species
UCAAGGGUGAGAUAGUCGUACAAGGNNAGACGGACCGGAAGGUGCUUCUAGAAUUAA